rnacentral:rRNA from 1 species
AACGAACGCUGGCGGCAGGCCUAACACAUGCAAGUCGAGCGAGGACUUCGGUCCUAGCGGCGGACGGGUGAGUAACGCGUGGGAACGUGCCCUUUGCUUCGGAAUAGCCCUGGGAAACUGGGAGUAAUACCGGAUGAGCCCUUUGGGGGAAAGAUUUAUCGGCGAAGGAUCGGCCCGCGUUGGAUUCGGUAGUUGGUGGGGUAAUGGCCUACCAAGCCGACGAUCCAUAGCUGGUUUGAGAGGAUGAUCAGCCACACCGGGACUGAGACACGGCCCAGACUCCUACGGGAGGCAGCAGUGGGGAAUCUUAGACAAUGGGGGAAACCCUGAUCUAGCCAUGCCGCGUGAGCGAUGAAGGCCUUAGGGUUGUAAAGCUCUUUCAGCUGGGAAGAUAAUGACGGUACCAGCAGAAGAAGCCCCGGCUAACUCCGUG